GUGGCCCUCUUGUGGAGCAAGACUCUUAAAGUAGCCUUUGUUGGGCAUGUCCAGAAUGGUCUCUAUGUGAUUAACUUUUCGGAGCGACCCACUAAGACCGCGACAUGCCUAAUGGCUAAAGUUGACAUGGGAUGGCUUUGGCAUCGCCGCCUAGCCCAUGUCAGUAUGAGAUCUUUGCAAAGUCUUCUCAAGGGGGACCAUGUCCGUGGACUAACAAAUUUUAGCUUUGCUAAAGAUCGUGCUUGCAGUGCCUGUAUCGAAGGGAAACUACAUGAGAAGGCUCACUCUCCCACGACUAUCAUUUACUCGAAGAGGCCUUUGGAGCUCCUUCACAUGGAUCUCUUUGGGCCUCCAUCUUUUGAUAGUCUUGGGGGUAGAAAGUAUUGCUUGGUGAUUGUGGACGAUUAUUCAAGAUACACUUGGGUAUAUUUCUUCAAGAGGAAGAGCGAGACCCAACAAACCGUCAUUGACUUUGCAAAUGAAGCCCAACGUCAACACAAUGCAAAGAUCUUGACUAUAAGAAGUGACAACGGCACCGAGUUCAAGAACUACAUCUUGGAUGAGUUUCUUAGUGAUGAGGGGAUCAAGCAUCAAUAUUCCGCA
rnacentral:rRNA from 1 species